UGCAGAAGAAAGCAAGCAGAACCAAAGACGUAAGACGCACAACAGGGAGCAGCCGCUGCCUCAGCCAGGAAAUGGGCUCCCGGGAAGCAAGCCUUUCCUACCGGAAGUCGAGGGUGGUACAGGGAAGAUAACAGAACAGAGGGACGGACGCGUAAGCAGGGGGCCCACCCGGCUCUCUCCAACCUUCUUGGAACCGAGAAGUGUCAGUCACAGGGCCCAAAGCUUUAAGGUCAUCACCAGCCCUGCUCACUUCGGAGUCAAGAUUUGCUAUGUCUGCACCAAGUACUCGGUGUUACAGGACAUAAAACAGCCCCAGACAGGACAGGGGGUGAAUCGGUGCCUGAGGACCAUAGAGAGAAGACACUGAAUUAGGGCCCUGAACAUUCAUCUAUAGGGCCACCUGGUCCUACCAGACAUCAGCAUUGGCUGGUGCUUUUCCAGUUUCUACGGGUGGUCCUCAUUAUCCCCUACCCCCUCCACAAUAGAGUCCUCCCAUACAAAAUGUCAACUUGCUACGACAUUGCCUUCUGGCUCUGGGUC